CCUACGGGAGGCAGCAGUGAGGAAUAUUGGUCAAUGGGCGGAAGCCUGAACCAGCCAAGUAGCGUGCAGGAUGACGGCCCUACGGGUUGUAAACUGCUUUUAUAGGGGAAUAACGCGCCUUACGUGUAGGGCUUUGCAUGUACCGUAUGAAUAAGGACCGGCUAAUUCCGUGCCAGCAGCCGCGGUAAUACGGAGGGUCCGGGCGUUAUCCGGAUUUAUUGGGUUUAAAGGGAGCGUAGGCCGGAGGUCAAGCGGGCGGUGAAAUGUCCGGGCUCAACCCGGGCCGUGCAGGGCGAACUGGCGGGCUGGAGUGCGCGGAAAGCAGGCGGAAGUCGUGGUGUAGCGGUGAAAUGCUUAGAUAUGACGAAGAACCCCGAUUGCGAAGGCAGCUUGCUGCAGCGGAACUGACGCUGAUGCUCGAAAGCGCGGGUAUCGAACAGGAUUAGAUACCCGGGUAGUC
rnacentral:rRNA from 1 species